GCCAGCAAGAGAGCAGAAGCAGGAAGAAAGCCAGCCGGAAGACACCUACCCUGGCCGGAAGACACGUACCCCCGAAGAUCGAGAAAGAGGCUGUCCGGGUAGUAUGUAGCAGUCACGUCAGACUGAGACACUUCUUGUUUACAGGAGACCAUAAAACCCCUGCCCCAUCCUCAUUUGGUGCUGAGGCCGUUUUAGGCCUCAGCCCGCCUGUACCCAGGCACUCAUUAAAACAGCGUGUUGCUCCACAGGGCCUCGUGUUGUCUGUUGGCACGCUCUUGGGCUUGGAACCGAUACAAGAACCUUACAAUGAGGUGGAAGAGAGAAGCACGGCAGGAUUGUGCACAAAGUCUUGUCUGUUGUGGAAUGGAGUUUGGACCUUUCCCACCACUUUCAAGGAAGGGAAUGAAUUGACCUGGUUCACUUCCUAAGAAGGCUACUGUCUGUGUGGUGCUCCUAGAGGCAUGGGAGAGGAGUGAAGACAGAGAUGACCAAAGAAACACUUGGGGAAAGAAUGGAAGCGGCAUGUGUUAGCUUGGGAAAGGGAAACAUACCAGCAUCCGAGAUCUGGCCAUCAGGGAGAAUAACAAACACUGACGGUGGCAAGAUAAAGAGAAGAUUCGAAGAUGGCUCCAGGUCUCCAGCCAGGAAGAUGCUGAUGACAGCAGUGCCAGGAGUUGGAACAGGAAAUGGAAGAUGCCUAAUGACUGCUUAGAGAAGGAAAGAAGGAAAACCCAAUGAAUCUAAAGAAUCGAGAUAGACUGAGUUCCCUACACCAAAUGGCUCACGUACGAAAGGAACCAUUGUCUUCUAAAAACUGACCCUUGGCUAUGUGUGCUGCCAGUCACUCCUGGGGGUUGGGGCAGACCAGGCCCACUGCUACCUCAUCUUCCUUCUAGCCUGAGCUUCUGUUGAUGUCAUCCCUGUCGGACCCUGGAUGAGAAAGAAAACGGGAACAACACGAGGAAGACGAGACAUCUUCCCCAGUGAGAAAUCUGCAAGUGUGCCAUUUUAGAGUUC
rnacentral:lncRNA from 1 species